rnacentral:rRNA from 1 species
GCAGUCGAGCGCCCUGCUUGCAGGGAGCGGCAGACGGGUGAGUAACGCGUGGGAACGUGCCUAUUGGUUCGGAAUAGCCCCGGGAAACUGGGUUUAAUACCGAAUGUGCCCUUCGGGGGAAAGAUUUAUCGCCAAUAGAUCGGCCCGCGUUAGAUUAGCUAGUUGGUGAGGUAAAAGCUUACCAAGGCUACGAUCUAUAGCUGGUCUGAGAGGAUGAUCAGCCACACUGGGACUGAGACACGGCCCAGACUCCUACGGGAGGCAGCAGUGAGGAAUCUUGGACAAUGGGGGAAACCCUGAUCCAGCCAUGCCGCGUGAAUGAUGAAGGCCUUAGGGUUGUAAAAUUCUUUCAGCAGGGAAGAUAAUGACGGUACCUGCAGAAAAAGCCCCGGCUAACUCCUUGCCACCAGCCGCGGUAAAACNGANGGGGCUAGCGUU